rnacentral:rRNA from 1 species
UACGGGGGGGGGCAAGCGUUGUUCGGAAUUACUGGGCGUAAAGGGCUUGUAGGUGGCCAACUAAGUCAGACGUGAAAUCCCUCGGCUUAACCGGGGAACUGCGUCUGAUACUGGAUGGCUUGAGUGUGGGAGAGGGAUGCGGAAUUCCAGGUGUAGCGGUGAAAUUCGUAGAUAUCAAGCGGAACACCGGUGGCGAAGGCGGCCUUCUGGACAGUGACUGACGCUGAGACGGCGAAAGCGUGGGGAGCAAACAGGG